rnacentral:rRNA from 1 species
CGUGAAAUUGUUGAAAGGGAAGCGUUUAUGACCAGGCUUGGGCUUGGUUAAUCAUCUGGGGUUCUCCCCAGUGCGCUUUUCCAGUCCAGGCCAGCAUCAGUUUUCCCCGGGGGAUAAAGGCGGCGGGAAUGUGGCUCUCUUCGGGGAGUGUUAUAGCCCACCGUGUAAUACCCUGGGGGGGACUGAGGUUCGCGCAUCUGCAAGGAUGCUGGCGUAAUGGUCAUCAACGACCCGUCUUGAAACACGG